UGAUCUUUAGUUUAGUUGGGAGCUUGUUCCACUCUUUUAUGGCUAUGUAUGAGAAAGCUGUGGUACGUAAUGGAAUAUUGCACUGCCACUGAGAGGCUGUUCUUGUUGCUCUGUUCAUCCGUUCAGAGGUCAGGUGAAUGAAGGCCUUAAGAGGUGGAGGUGCAGUUCCAUGAAUGAUUUUAAAAACCAAACGUACAUUUGAGAAUGUGAUCAUAUUUUCGAAACUUAGCAUCUUAUGUUUAUUAAGGAUACGACAAUGAUGAUAUUGCUGCGUCUUUUUAUCCAAAAUUUUUUAGUAUGGUUUCCCACUUUGUAUGACUUCCCGUGAUUAGGAGGAAGAGUCUUGUUCUCAGAGACUGUUUAUUUUUACUUUUCCAAAGUGCUGGUGAAAUUUGGGCUGCAAGUCUGGCUCAAGGUGGGCCACCACCCUGCUGCCUCAAACUUUGGGUCUACAAAUACUUGUGUGAUGGAGAGCUGCAGAUACAGCAUAUACAGGAAAAGGAUGUCUGUGAUGGUCAAUAUUCACUGAUUAUCUCACAGAAGGUUGAGUCAGCCACAGAAGCUGACAUCACUGAACUCACUGAGGAAAUUCUGAGCUGUGGAUAUCAUGGACCUAUUUGUGUUGAAAAGAAAGAAGACAUUGUUCGCCUUAUCUCUCUCAGCUGCGUGAAGGUCUGACACUGUAUGGUCUGGCUGAUUUAAUGAGCCAGUACCCAAAGAUCUGCCAACCACUCUUUGUUCCCGGGAAAGAAGUAUAGGCUGAUGCUGACUUUGUUUUUGCGUCAUUCCAUCCCGAGUUCAGUGAGAAGGGCCCCCAUAAAGAACAGGUGGAAGUUAGCAUCAUGAACCAUCUACAGGACUUCUUGCAAGAGCUUGAAACAAGUGAACAGACAGAGGUGGGUGACAAUCCAGGUUCCCUCUCCCCAAGGACAUUCCUGCCUUGGCUCACAGGACAAGGCCAUAUUCCUCUGCUGCCUGAGGAGAAGACAACCUUCAAACUGUUUGUGAAGUUGGA